rnacentral:misc_RNA from 1 species
UUUAACAACAUGUGAAAAUGAAAUACUCAUGUUUUAUAUACUAGAAAAACGUAUAUCUUUGCGAUUUUCUUUCCUUGAACAAUAUUAAAGGGGAUUUAAACAUGACAAGGUUUGCAAGAGCUGGAAAAAGAAAGUUCUUAGACGCUUCUACCUGGAAUGAACUAUCAGAAAAUCAGUCAAAUACAAAACCAUCAGCUGUGAAGAAAGAUGCUCCUGUAUCAACCAAAACAAAGAAAAUAGUUUCAAAAGGGAAAAAAAGUUUAACACAAGAGAGAUCUGAGAAGACAGUUUUAGAUCCAAAGAGACAAAAACAAAUUGAAGCUCGUAGAUUAAGAAGAAAGAAGCGAAAGUGUUGUUUUGUUUGUCGACAAUAUGGUCAUCAAGCGUCAGAGUGUCCAAACAAAGAGGAUAUGAAAAUUGGAAGUUGUUUCAAAUGUGGAUCUUUAGAUCACACAACAAAGAACUGCAAAGAAAGUGUUGAUGAUACGUCUUCAGGUUCUUUUCCAUUUGCAAAAUGUUUUAUUUGUCAAGAGAUGGGACAUUUGGCCAGAUCAUGUCCUGAGAAUCCCAGAGGAUUGUAUCCACAAGGUGGAGGAUGUAAAGUUUGUGGCUCUGUUGAACAUUUAAAACGGGAUUGUCCACAAGUUGUAAAGAAGAAGAUUAAAGGAAACGUAACAGAGUCAGUGAUCCUGACAGUACCUGAGGGAUCAAGUCAUAAAAGUGCAGAUGCUGAAGAUAUUGUGGAAAAUGAAAUUCCUAAACACAAAAAGAAACACAAAAAAUCAAAAGGAAAAGUUGUCCAUUUUUGAGAUACCGAAGAAAAACCCAAAGGAUUUGUUGUACUUAAUGGCAAGCUAAAUCUGUUGCGGAUACAAAAUUCUCAGACGCCAGGAAAGUAUUCAAGGUCCUUAAGAGAUGAAACUCAUGAAAGCUUUGUUGGUUUUCGUCUUCACGAUCUGUUACUCUGAAACUGGAGAAGCUUCUUUGGUUCGUGGAGAAGGUAACAACACGAUAAUAGCUCUUUUACCUUUCCACACCCCCACUGCAGACUCGAAGCAAUGUUCAAACGAGCUUCAUUUUAAAUCGGCCGUUCAAAGUCAAGCUUUAGUCUAUGCGGUUAAAAAACUGAAUUCAGACCCAAACUUCGGUGCCAUGAUUUCUCUUGGCUACGAUGUCGAGGAUAUUUGCGGAGAUAAACCUGAACAUUUGCUCAACGUGAUAAACACUUUAUUCAAAAGACACAAAAGACAACA